GCCCCGCGGAGAGAGGUGGUAAUUCUCUGUCCAGAUUGAGCUCCCCUUCUCAUGCCGACCGAGGCCUUUCUCACGGCUGCAGUGAGCUCAGAGCAGAGGCCAGUUGUCAGCUCAACUGACACAGAAGGACUUGGCUUCCAAGGGAACACAAGGCACUCUGCCCAAGGCUGAUCGAUGUGGGUCAAGGUGGUGCAGUGGAGUGUCCACUCCUGAGUCUCAGGUCUCUGCUUUGAGGUGAUGAGCCCACACAAUGUGAUGCAAGGUUCCAAUCAGAUAACAGAUGGAAACUCCUGGCACAUGAUGAGGAUCAUCAUUCUGUCCUGCAAAACUUCGGGAAUUUAAGCUAUAGAUGUGUCUUGCAGGAAGAACUCGGAACUCAGGCGUGCGUAAAGACCUACAGCAUGUUCUCUCGGGGAUCUGGGACCCUGUGGAAUGUGAGAGUGAGGAGUUCAGACGUCAGAAUCAUAUGAUCAUGUACCAACCAUCGUGGUGUCAUUUGCUAGGAAAUUCUACUUCGAUGAAGAUUAUAACAUUGUUUCCACACAGAGAGAAAGAAAACACACUUGGUGGAAAUAACACGUUUACCCGAACUCUCUGGGUUUCUCAAGCUAUGGAACUCUUCAGGCUGAACAUUUUUGCUCUGAGAAGAGUGAAGGUGAGCACAGAGCAACCGGGAAGGCCCCUCGGGGACCAUUCACGCCGGUGGGUGUGCAGUGGAAUCCUCCUCUGAGCAGCGUCAUUUUCGGCUCAGGAUCUGUCAUGGGGCAGAACCCACCCACCUGCUUCUGGAAGAGCCUUUGGAGAAGGCCUCGCCACAAACUCAUUGUGUAGAUAAUCAAGUGAGGUGGUGGCAGAAGCAGCACCGCUGGUGACCUGGUGCAGAGGAUACGAUCCAGUCCACUUUGUGAGGAAGCCCAGCCCGGCUCCCAGUCCUCGGAUGGGAACAAGAGUGAAAAAAUAAUAAAGAAAAUACCAAGAAAAUCAGCCCCAUCAGCCGGGAAGCCUGGGGCCGUCGCUCACAGGCCCACAGCAGAACAGUGCCAGCAUUUCCAGGACCACAGACUGGCUCCUCUGAAGCUGCCCUUCCCUCUCUCUCCCCUGCAGGAGCCUGACCAGUCCCCUGCUCCCUCCCGCUGCCCACUUACCCUAAUCCCCUUGGCUUCAGCUGCCAUUUGUAUGUUCAAAGUCCUAAACUUCUCACACUGGCCCAGACCCUUCUCUUGAACCAGCUCUCCAUUCCCAGUAGCCAGUUGCACCCCCAUUUGGGGGCUCGCAGGCCACAUAGAACUGGUUGUCUCCCCUCCCAGAUGCCUCUUCUCCAUCUUCCUUCUCAGCAGAGGCCAUGAUCGCACCCUCAGUUGUCCCAACAAGCCUGUGGGGUCCUGUCCCGUGCCCGCUGCGGGCCCCGCCCCUUGCAUCAGCAUCCCCAGCAUCCCCGGAAGUGACGCGGUCCCAAGGGUUCCCUCUCUGUGCCUCCCGCCGCCGCUUCCCACCCCCAUCCUCGCUCUCCCCUUUUCCUGCUGAACUAUCCCAAGGGCAUGCUUCUCGGCUGAGCCAUGGCCUCUGCCGGAAUGCAGUCCUACGCAGGGUGCCUCCUCCUUCCCCUUCAGUCGUUUCAGGAGGCCCAAGUGGUGUCUCCAUCCCCGCGCCAGCCUCACAUGCCCCUCUCUGGACUAGACCCCGGCAUCCUUGGGCCAGAACCAUCUGUUUACAGCGCGGCCCCCCCAGAGAGUGGAAACCCCUCCAGAGACCGGAUCCGGCCCAGCAAGCAUACCAAGUGCUCAACAAACAUGGCUCCGUUGAGAGCAGCUGAAUGGGCUUUCCGCAUUUUCUUAACAAGAUAAACAAGGUUCUAACUUCGUUCUUCCUCCCAAGAGUGUGAACAAAGACAGCCUUCAUGAAAGGGAAAAACCCAGCAGCGGUGGGACUAAUGACAAGAUGGUGGCAGGCAUGCUGCGUUACUUCCCUGUGUCCAUUUACCUCUGCAAGGGCGCUCAGGAUCCCCUCCUCAGGCCAUUUCCCAUCGUUCUUCUCUGAAGUAAACAGAAAAUUCACCUGCUUCCAGCCCUGAUUAUCUUGAAUGUUCCUUGGUUUUUAUGUCCAACCUCUAGAACUGGAAAUUAGAAACCAAGAGAGUCAAACUAAAAUAAAUGACGCUCCACGCUACUGGGUAAUCCUGCCUUGUUAUGUGAGAAAUCACCAUUUGCCCAUGUUUUAACUGGGCAAACCGCACACAGAUCGGCCCUCAGGGGUUUUACAGGCAUACAUAUGCACCAGAUGGUAACACACUGGAGCAACUGUGCAGCAGGAAGGGAGUCCAUAUGAAGCAGGCAGAAGAUUCCUGAAGACUUGUCAAUGUUUGGCUCCAUGUUAUUAUCUGUGUGCAGUAGUACCGCUCCCUGGAAUCUGCUAGGGAGCUUCUCCCUCAACUUCUUCCCAUUGUGCACCAUUUAAUGAGUUUUCAAAGAGAAAAUGACUUCCAUUUCAGCAUGUGGAGCAUUUGUUUAUAGCUGGGUUUGCAAAAAAGAAUCUGGAAUUAUUUUUUGGUAAUUUGCACAUUACUAAAUAACAGAUGGUCUGCAAAAGUGGUUGGAUUUCAAAUGCCUGAUGUGGAAGGAGUCUCAUGUUUUAUAAAAAGUUCGAGGGACACCAAACUGCCAAGGCCAGGCAAAUACCUUGAAGAUCACAACAAAGAUCUGUUUGCAAACCGGGAGACCCCCUCUCUGGGAGUGGGGGCUCUCGGCCCUUGCUCAUUGCUGUUGGUGGGAUGGCUUGCAUUAGUCUCCCACUGCCAGGUAAGAACAGUGACGCCGGCGAGGCCCUCAGGGUGGAACUCAUCGCUGUUGUUUCUCCAAAACAACAGAGUAACAGUCAUCAUAACAGCUACAUUUAUGUGCUGCACCUAAUGUCCUAACACGAGAAAGAGGUGGCAAGAUGCGGGAGAGAAGGCAGGGGCGGAAGAAGAGGAAGCAGAGAACAAUACAAAACAAAGCAAAAUGGGACAGGCAGACCCUGUUUUGUUUUCCCUGAAUAGCUGCCUGAACUCUCUUGGUGGACGUGUUAUUUCCAACAACUUUUAUGUGCAGAUGUUGUUUGAAGCGCUGCAUGCCUUGGAUUCUCAGGGACAGCAGUGCUCACUCAGGAAGCCCAGAUGCUGGGCAGGGUUGUCUGCCUUCUCCCUUAGGAGGAAGCACGAGGGCAUGGUGAUUCCAGGCUGCAGGCCAUUUGCACCUGUGGCCCUAGAGCACGGGGCUCUGAGAGGGGGUUACUGGGAAGGUUAGAGACCAACUGGAGGAGGUGCCUCAACCCUAGUGGAAUACUCGGAAGAUAGAGGAGGGGUGCUGCCUAGGACACGGCCUUUCUCCAGUGAGGAACGCAUUGUCCCCCUCAGCAUCUUCGGGGAAUACGCAGUGCUGUCUUCUUCCUCCUUCUGCCUCCUCCAUGGGCUCUUGGACUGACAUGAGGGGCAGCAGAAGAUGGGGAGGGUCCUCGAAGGGGACUGGGGAAGGGCUGGGCUCAUUUUCUGUCCUCAGAGGGAGGCUGACAGAGCAGAGUGAGUUGACUUCUUGAACUAGGAACUCUUUAAGGGCUUAGCAGUUAACUUGAGGCUGGAUUUUUCUCUUUUCAGAAGAAAGACAGGGGCAAUCCUGACUUAAGAGCCUAAAAUUAUUGACAGCUGACAAGAGGCCCACUGAGGCUCCUUUUUAGGCUAAAUCAUUUCAGAUACCAAAGGGAAAAGAACUUGAGGUGGUUACAAAUGUCCUUCCAGGGCUGUUCAGGAGAUCUACUUUCUAGGAGGAAUUUGUAUGAAAAUGAGUCCUGUUGAAACUACAUGGAAUUUGAGGCCCAGUCAGACCUUUUUUCUUCCUGUGCCCCCAGAAGAUUCCUGUUCUGUGGUAACAACUCACCAGCUUAUAUUGGUUGAGUAUUAGUGUCUAAAGGGCUUUCCUAUCCACUGUUUUAUUGUACUUACAUCUUUUAAAAUUUUUUCCAGAACACAUUUAUAAAAUUAUUACCAAAUAGAAAAGAGUUGAAAAGCACCAGAAUAUCAAUAGGGGAAUGCUGGAAGUUUCUUCCAGAGCUACUUCCAAAAAGAAGAACAGAAAAAGAAAAGCAAAAAUGGAUAGGAAACAGGGAGGGAAGGAAGGAGGGAGAGAAGGAAGGAAGAAGGGAGUGAGAGAGAAGGAAAGAAAUUCCUUGAGAUGUUUUCUCAGAGUUUGUUUAUUAAAUAGAAAGGUUAAGUUGCUCUAGUCUGCGUCAGCUGCGAGAUGAAGAGAGAUAGCUAAUUUUAUUCCCGUUUUACAGAUGAGGCAAAAGAAACAGCAGAAAAACGACUUACUGAGCUCCUUAGUGACACAGCUUGGCUGCCGCCCAGACCUACAGACCUGGAGCUGCUUCUACUCUUUGGGGAAGUGCCCCCAGGCAAAAUGACCUGAGAAGGUCAGAAAACGCAGGUGAAGUCAUCUCAGAAGGGGGUUCACCAGGGAAAGGACGUCUUGGGACCUGGCCCUGAGAGGCUCCAUGUCUAGAGAUGUGAAGAAAGCCAUUCACUACUGAGCAUUGGUGUUGGGGCUAUGGUUCCAGACUCAUUGAAAAUGCAGUGACAGGCUGAGGAGACUUCUAGUUGGGGGCUGUUUUUGUCAUGGCCAGUACUGUGGUUUGAAUGUAGUGGGUGUCCAAGACAGGAAGAGCAGGAGACAGAUCUCUGCCUCAACCCCGUGCCGCUCACUGAACUUUCCUGUUCUCAGCUUCUUUGCCCUUCUUUGCCUCUCCCUUAUGCCACGCUUAGUGGCUCUGGACUGGGUUGGGCUGCAUCAGUAGGUCCCAUCUCACACUAUCCACCCCCCGCUAGGAUGACCAGAGUACCCCCCCACACUGUCCCUCACUCCCUGCUGGCUGCACUCCAGACCUACCCCCCAGCGGGGCUGGCUUCCAACAGCUCCUCCUCAGGGGACACUGGCCAUGCUACUGGGGGUGGGGGCAGGCAGUCCUCUUUCUACACCCCCACCCCACUCCAGGGUGGGGCUUAUACAGAUUCACCCAUAGUAAGGAUUACCUCAGGCCAAACCCUGUUUCCAUCCACAUGCACAGGAAGGAGGUUAAGGUGAGAUUGGUUUAUUUUGUCCCUCAUUAUCAACUCUGGUAAACAAAAAACGGCUUGACUUGGCAUCGAAGGAAUUUAAACUAUUAGCUCAAAUGGGGGUUUGGGGAUUAUCUGUGGAUUUCCUUUAUUUGUUCUCUUUCCUCUCUUGCCAUGGCUAAUCCAAAUUUGAUGGGAAGUGAGGCAUCAGCUAUUCCAGAAACCUCACAGGAUCCUCUGUGAUGUGGGCUCCCCGCCUGCUUGCAGGUUUAUUUUUGUCACUUCUUGCCUUCACAUCUCAAGCCCGUGACCCUGCGUCUUGGUGCAUUGUGCUCUAGCGUUUCCUGAAGCGAGCACCCGCAGCCUCAGGAUUCAGGGUUCGUCUCCUGGGCCUCCCAGAGCAAGAUGUGGGAGCAGCCCUGCUUCCAGGUCGGUGCCCUUCUGUGUCUGGGCGAGCUUCUGGGAUAAAACCUGUUCUUUCUACAGAGCUCUGUUCCUCAUUUCUAUUGGCCCUUUAGCAAGAAAAAGUGAUCCCAGUGUUCAUGUCCCCUUGCUGGAACGGAGGCCUGUCAUCGUGGGGAGGGGGACUUGUCCUCUAGCAGCCCUGGGGUGCCUCAUCAGGAGCUGUACCACGCCCUGCCCCAGACAGCCACAAAAUGUUUACAACUCCAGUUGAAAAACCACAAGCUUAGCAAAAUGUUUGCAUGGAGGCAAAAGACAAAGCCCACUGACAUAUUUUUCUUAAACUGUUAAAAUCCUGCAGGUUGGUCUGACUUUUCUGAGCGUGAGUCCCAUGAGGCUUUGAUCAAUAUCAAGGAUCAAAUCAUUUACAGAAAACACUUUUCCUUUGGAAUGUGUCUUGUAGUCCUUUAAGCUCCAUUUGGCCUACUAUUAUUUAUGAUAUUUGAAUUUUUCUUUAAAUCAUCAGGAAG